GAGCGCGUAGCUCAGUUGGCAGAGCGUUUGCUCGACACGCAAAAGGUCAGAGGUUCGAAUCCUCUCGUGCUCACCA
rnacentral:tRNA from 1 species